AACAAGAACGACUGCAAGUUGCUUUGGAUAAAAGUGUCUGCUAAAUGGCUUAUA
rfam:Salmo salar isolate Sally breed double haploid chromosome ssa07, whole genome shotgun sequence.